UACUACUGUUUCUCGCGGUUUCACCCGCACCAAACAGAUUUUUAAGUGAAUCUCCUGAAUGAUAACUUACCACAAAGCUUCGUAAACCAACUGAUAUGGACGGAAAUGACAGUCAUAGACAAGGAAGAAUGUGGGAUUUACUACCGGCACAUGCUCAGUCCAUCAAAUUACUGUGCAAAAUACACACCGUAAUCCCAGGAGCGUCUGCUGAGUGACAGCGGCGGCCCCGCGGUGUACAACAGAGAGCUGCUCGUAGG
rnacentral:misc_RNA from 1 species